CGCCCCUGGAGCGCCUCCUGUUACACGGCAGUGCACAAAGCAGACCAGUGCCUGCCCUCACAGAGCUCACAGUCUAGCAAGAUAGGCAGAAAACACACCAGAAAAGUAGGUACUUGUGGAGAAGAACAGAGCGAGGUCCAGAGCAUGGGGACGCCAGGGGGACGAGGCUGACACUUAGGGCCCAGCAGUCUGGGAUGUUCUUGAUCAGAGACUUACAGGAAAUGGCAGCAAGCUGUGUGGCUCCUGGGCAGUGUUUCUGUCGGGCAGAGUCUGUGUUUGGGAGAAAAGUAAGCAGGGAAUUGGGUCCCGGAGCAGGUCAGAGGGGGAGCUCAUGAGGUGCCAGUGUGCAGGAUUCGCUGUGAAUGAAGCCUUGGAGACAGCAGUUCCCUGGCGGGGCGCAGGUUGCAGGUGUGGAGGGGGAGUGAUCUAAUUGCAUCUUAACAAAAUUGCAGACACUGGUGGUCAGAGAACAGACUGAGCGGUGGAGUGAGUUGGGACGGGAGUGAGGAGGCCACCACGGUAAACCAGGCCAAGGGCAGAGGGUCCAGAGGGAGCUGCGGACCCAUUUCAGAGAAUGAGCAUGGGAGUUCCUGGAGGACCUGGUGUGGGCUGUGCGGGAGAGAGGCCAGGAUGCCUCCAGGGCUUUAGUCUGAGCACGAGUGGAGUCUCCCUCCCUGGAGAUGGGAGGGCUGUGGGACCACAGGCUUGGAGGAAAACUGAGUCUGGCCGCGGAUGUGUCAGAUGCCAUCUGGAAAGGCAGCUAGAUAGCGGCCCGUGAGGGGCUGCGCAUUUGGAAGCCGCCAGGCUGGCGGUAGAUGCAAGCCUUGGGAGAGAUGGGGAUGGGCUGAGGGGCAGAGCGGAGUGGGGACCAACUGGGCGGCUCCCAGGGUUCUGGAGCCAGAAGCAGAAUGAGAGGCCGCAUUUGCGGUGGUCUGGAGUACAGGAUCUGGAGCUCUAAUCCCAACUCUGCCGUUUUCUCCGUGUGACCUUGGCCCUGUGAGGCUUCACCUCUUGAGCCUGAGAAGCAGAGGGGAGCGGGAGUCCCUGAAGGGCCAGGGGAGUGAGGAGAUGGAAGGAAGGGAGUCCAAGCAGAGGAAGGAUAGCUGUGAAGACAGAAGCAGUGGCGGCAUUGUGCGGAGAAUGUGAGUGAAGGGAUGAAAAUCGCUCGGCCCGUGCCUGGCCCCUAGU
rnacentral:lncRNA from 1 species